GGGAGACAAACAACGAUUUUGAUGCCUGAGUGCUUUUAUUCUUAGGCCGAAAUCCUGUCACCUUAGGUCGAUCGGUACCUCAGCUUUGAAGUCAAGAAUGUGCAGCGAUGCAGGUUGCUUGAUGGAGAUUCUUAGUUCCUAAACUUUGUCUAGGUCACACCCCAAAAGGGAUGAGACUCCUGGGCCAUUAGCUCAGGUGGUUAGAGCGCACCCCUGAUAAGGGUGAGGUCCCUGGUUCAAGUCCAGGAUGGCCCAUUCGGUGUUGGGGGUUUAGCUCAGUUGGUAGAGCGCCUGCUUUGCAGGCAGGAUGUCAGGAGUUCGAGUCUCCUAACCUCCACUGACCGAACUUUGUCCCCAGCUUCAUUUGAUGGAGUUGAGCUCGAUUGGAGUGUGAUUUAGAUGUGUCCGCUGGAAGACCCCAGCUUCCUGUCAUUCUAAGAAUUGGUUGAAUCAAUUUUUAGUUGAUAAGAUGCUGGGCUCGAACUGAGCAAUCAGUUUGGAGUUCUAGCAGAACCUUGACAACUGCAUAGGUGAGUCUGGAAAGAAUAAAGCAUCUCAUGGAUGCAUCAUUCUUUUUUGGAUGAUGUUUGAUUCUUGAGCAAGAGCCGAGACUCCACCACGUUCUUCUGAUUGUGUCGAGCAAUUGGGAGUUUGAUCUUUGAUUCAGCAAUGAAUCAGAGAGAAUCCGUUUCAACGACGGCAAGCGUGAUGGAGAUUAAU
rnacentral:tRNA from 1 species